ACCAGCAGCGAUAGCUCCUUGAAAGCACCAGUUGACCAGUUCCGCAUGGAUCACUGAAGUUGAGCACGGUUGCGCGUGGUUAGUACCCGGAUGGGUGACCAUCUGGCCAAUAGCGUGCUAGCUGCUAGCU
rnacentral:rRNA from 1 species